rnacentral:sRNA from 1 species
CCGAAGCAUAUGUGAUCUAUUGGCGAGGAAGCUUUGGUGAAGGGUGAAACUCCCUGACCCAGAUUUGAUCCUCAGAAAUGUAUGCGGUCUGACUACCUCCUGCCAUUAAUAAAAUAAUAUUUUAAAUUCGAAACAGACAGUGUGGUGGUCUUUCGGAGAAAAGUCCACUCUGAAGCAUAGCAGUGCAUUUCUACCGGGAUUGACUAGGGUUUAUCAAAAAGA